UACAGGGGGGGGCAAGCGUUGUUCGGAAUUACUGGGCGUAAAGGGCUCGUAGGCGGCCAACUAAGUCACACGUGAAAUCCCCAGGCUUAACCUGGGAACUGCGUGUGAUACUGGAUGGCUUGAAUUCGGGAGAGGGAUGCAGAAUUCCAGGUGUAGCGGUGAAAUGCGUAGAUAUCUGGAGGAAUACCGGUGGCGAAGGCGGCAUCCUGGACCGGCAUUGACGCUGAGGAGCGAAAGCUAGGGGAGCAAACGGG
rnacentral:rRNA from 1 species